GACGAACGCUGGCGGCGUGCUUAACACAUGCAAGUCGAACGGAAAGGCCCUGCUCUUGUGGGGUGCUCGAGUGGCGAACGGGUGAGUAACACGUGAGUAACCUGCCCUUGACUUUGGGAUAACUUCAGGAAACUGGGGCUAAUACCGGAUAGGAGCUCCUGAUGCAUGGUGGGGGAUGGAAAGUUUCGGCGGUUGGGGAUGGACUCGCGGCUUAUCGGCUUGUUGGUGGGGUAGUGGCUUACCAAGGGUUUGACGGGUAGCCGGCCUGGGAGGUUGACCGGCGACAAUGGUACUGAGAGACGGACCAGUAUCCUACGGGAGGCAACGGGGGGGAACAUGACGGAGCAGGGCGACGCGAGUUACGGCGGCGUCGCGAGCGGGAUGACGGGCUUCUAGUGGUAAACCGCUGUGGCCUGUGACGAGGAGUGAGUGACGGUAAUGGGUAAGAAAGCACCGGCUAACUACGUG
rnacentral:rRNA from 1 species